rnacentral:rRNA from 1 species
CCUACGGGAGACAGCAGUGAGGAAUAUUGGUCAAUGGACGAGAGUCUGAACCAGCCAAGUAGCGUGAAGGAUGACUGCCCUAUGGGUUGUAAACUUCUUUUAUAUGGGAAUAAAAUGUUCCACGUGUGCGUUUUUGUAUGUACCAUAUGAAUAAGGAUCGGCUAACUCCGUGCCAGCAGCCGCGGUAAUACGGAGGAUCCGAGCGUUAUCCGGAUUUAUUGGGUUUAAAGGGAGCGUAGAUGGGUUGUUAAGUCAGUUGUGAAAGUUUGCGGCUCAACCGUAAAAUUGCAGUUGAUACUGGCAGUCUUGAGUGCAGUUGAGGUAGGCGGAAUUCGUGGUGUAGCGGUGAAAUGCUUAGAUAUCACGAAGAACUCCGAUUGCGAAGGCAGCUUACUAGACUGCCACUGACAUUGAUGCUCGAAAGUGUGGGUAUCAAACAGGAUUAGAUACCCUUGUAGUC